rnacentral:rRNA from 1 species
CGGUGUUUAACUGGCGUGAUGUGGGACGUCCUACCGGUGGGCUUAGCCUCGCGAGGGGCGGCCCAACUAAUAUCCCGUCGCGGUGCUCUUUACUGAGUGUCGAGUCGGGCCGGUACGUUUACUUUGAACAAAUUAGAGUGCUUAAAGCAGGCUAUCCUCGCCUGAAUACUGCGUGCAUGGAAUAAUGGAAUAGGACCUCGGUUCUAUUUUGUUGGUUUUCGGAACCCCGAGGUAAUGAUUAAUAGGGACAGAUGGGGGCAUUCGUAUUGCGACGUUAGAGGUGAAAUUCUUGGAUCGUCGCAAGACGGACAGAAGCGAAAGCAUUUGCCAAAAAUGUUUUCAUUAAUCAAGAACGAAAGUUAGAGGUUCGAAGGCGAUCAGAUACCGCCCUAGUUCUAACCAUAAACGAUGCCAGCUAGCGAUCCGCCGAAGUUCCUCCGAUGACUCGGCGGGCAGCUUCCGGGAAACCAAAGCUUUUGGGUUCCGGGGGAAGUAUGGUUGCAAAGCUGAAACUUAAAGGAAUUGACGGAAGGGCACCACCAGGAGUGGAGCCUGCGGCUUAAUUUGACUCAACACGGGAAACCUCACCAGGCCCAGACACCGGAAGGAUUGACAGAUUGAUAGCUCUUUCUUGAUUCGGUGGGUGGUGGUGCAUGGCCGUUUUUAGUUGGUGGAGCGAUUUGUCUGGUUAAUUCUGAUAACGAACGAGACUCUAGCCUGCUAAAUAGGCGUACCUUAUGGUAUCGCGAAGGCCCCCGGCUUCGGCCGGUGGGUUUUUACUACCAACGUACAAACAAAUCUUCUAGAGGGACAGGCGG